rnacentral:tRNA from 1 species
CAGGGACUGGCGCAAUUGGUAGCGCGCCGCAUUCGGGUUGCGGAGGUUCCGAGUUCGAGUCUCGGGUCCCUGA